CCUUGUACACACCGCCCGUCACACCAUGGGAGUUGGUUUUACCCGAAGGUGCUGUGCUAACCGCAAGGAGGCAGGCAACCACGGUAGGGUCAGCGACUGGGUG
rnacentral:rRNA from 1 species